UUCUUAUUAGCUCAAUGGUAGAGUAGAAUACUUCUAAUAUUUGGAUCUAAGUUCGAAUCUUAGAUAAGAAUUA
rnacentral:tRNA from 1 species